rnacentral:rRNA from 1 species
AUUGAACGCUGGCGGCAGGCCUAACACAUGCAAGUCGAACGAGUGGCGGACGGGUGAGUAAUGUCUGGGAAACUGCCUGAUGGAGGGGGCUAACUGCUGGAAACGGUAGCUACUACCGCCUACCAUCGGAUGUGCCCAGAUUGGAUUAGCUAGUGGGUGGGGUAAAGGCUCACCAAGGCGACGAUCCCUAGCUGGUCUGAGAGGAUGACCAGCCACACUGGAACUGAGACACGGUCCAGACUCCUACGGGAGGCAGCAGUGGGGAAUAUUGCACAAUGGGCGCAAGCCUGAUGCAGCCAUGCCGCGUGUAUGAAGAAGGCCUUCGGGUUGUAAAGUACUGUCAGCGGGGAGGCGUUACCCGCAGAAGAAGCACCGGCUAACUCCGUGCCAGCAGCCGCGGUAAUUC